rnacentral:rRNA from 1 species
CCAAAGCUGGCGACCGGCGCACGGGUGAGUAACACGUAUCCAACCUGCCUCAUACUCGGGGAUAGCCUUUCGAAAGAAAGAUUAAUACCCGAUGGCAUAAUUAGACCGCGUGGUCUUAUUAUUAAAGAAUUUCGGUUAUCGAUGGGGAUGCGUUCCAUUAGGCAGUUGGUGAGGUAACGGCUCACCAAACCUUCGAUGGAUAGGGGUUCUGAGAGGAAGGUCCCCCACAUUGGAACUGAGACACGGUCCAA